UACGGAGGUGGCAAGCGUUGCUCGGAAUCACUGGGCGUAAAGGGCGCGUAGGCGGGGAGGUAAGUCGGGUGUGAAAUCCCUCGGCCCAACCGAGGAAGUGCGCCCAAAACUGCUUGGCUUGAGUACCGGAGAGGGUGGCGGAAUUCCCGGUGUAGAGGUGAAAUUCGUAGAUAUCGGGAGGAACACCAGCGGCGAAGGCGGCCACCUGGACGGAUACUGACGCUGAGACGCGGAAGCGUGGGGAGCAAACAGG
rnacentral:rRNA from 1 species